GGAUGAAAUUCGCCUUCGAGUAUUGUUCAGAUUCCACGCCCUUAGUCGGUCUAUUGACGGUAAUAUAAAUUGUCAAAAGUAAAAGCAGCAACAAAAUAUUUCCACGCAAGCCUGGUUAACCGAAGUUGUAAUAUACUACAAUACUCAUGAACGGAUGAUCACGUACCUGCAUUCUGCUGUACUGGCAACAUUGUUUACCAACAAAUUCCGAUAAAAUACUUUUCUUCUGACAUACUAAUGGAUUUCUGCGACAUGACAAAUGCUUCACGAUCAGUGUAUGUAAAAACUUUGCAGCAGCAAAGAAUGGAGUUUCUCCAAGAAAUACGUAUGCAUUCACACGUAAACAACGAGCACAUGCGAGGCUGAAUCGCCUGACAAGUGAUAGCCGACAUGUGUGAAGGCAUAUGUGAUCCAAAACUGGAACAGGAAUUCGGUGAUUGGAGUACGAGAUACGAGGGCUGCAGGUUAAUUGCAUGUCUUUUACGACCGCAUCCGGAAUCUCCGCAGGCUGUUGAAACUGGAGCAAUCAUCAUCAGUUAUACUGUUAAGGGCAAUGCGGAAUAUUGGGAACGAAUUUCAAAUUUGGGGCGUACAAAAGACGGAUGUAAAGUUUAGUCGAUGGUUUUAGUAUCAUAGAAUUUUGUUGUUACGAAGUUCAGGGUAGGCUGCAUUAUGCGUUACCUUCGUUGAAAUUAAACAAAAAUAAUUAAUAAUUCACUCAUACAUUUAAACUUACGAAUUGAUAACCAGUUCAGUUUCUAAAUUUGCAAACAAGAUUGCGAUUGUGAAGAAGAGUAAUCGAGUACUCGUAACGUUGUUAUUACAUUUUUGAAAAAAAUGAACGCUCAUUCGUCAGAUCGCCAGUAGUCGUGUCUCAUUUCGUUCGUAAUUUCAUUACACGUCGUCUGAGGUAAAUAAGUCUUCGAAAUCAAAUUUUUUACUUCUGCUGUAAGAGUUCCCAUAAAUUUCGCGUAGUGUGCAUGUUACAUAGCGACAAUAUCCUGCAUCUUAAAUGCCAAAAGCAGAGCCGUGAAGUUUGUGAAAUAGGUUUGUCAUUGAAAAAUAAUAAAUUAUAUAUAUAUAUGUUAAGGUUGACAUGUGGAGUACGGGUAAAAAAAAUUUUUUUCUCCAAUUAGACCGUCACUCAAUCUAAAUUUAUGCAAGGUGAAUUGGGAAUGAAAAUAUUGGCCCUUGUAGGUAGAUGCAUACCCUGAAUACGAGAGAUCUAUCUUUGUAUAGCAGAAUUUGUGUCUACGGAACUCGCCAAGUGGGUUGUGCGUCACGUUUGACCCUCGACAAUAGUCGUGCCUUGAUCUUUAUCUCAAAGUUGACAUCUGCGUGAGACACAAGAUGCGGUAAUUUCUGGCUGUAAGCCCCUUAGGCGCUUGCCCUUAAUCUAAAUUCUGCGCUCAUAUCUAUUUCUCAAGCAAGUACGUGUCAACAUUCAAUGCCCUGUGCUACCUUUCUGCAUGUUACGUUUUUCCCUUAAGGGAGGGGGAGAGAAGGGGCGUAAGCGUAGUCGAUUUCGACGCUGUCGUAUAUAUAUCGAAUUAUCCAAGCCGCGUAUCUGAAACAUAAAUAAGGGCAUGACAGUCUCGUUAUACGUAGAAUUCUGAACAAAACCACUCCAAUCUAUUUUUAUUCAACGCAAAUGUAAA
rnacentral:lncRNA from 1 species